AGCAGACUCAGGUAUCCAACAAAUGAACAAGCGCCUCCACCCUCACCUCAGACCUCACCCUCCUCCUCCGGCCGACCUCCUCCAGCCGUCCUCCUCACAGAAGAGCUCAUGGAUUUGAUUUUUGUUACUCGAGUGGGAAGUUCAAACAAGGUCCACCUAUGGUGAUAUUGCUCUCAUCUAAAGAGACUUAACUAUGGAGUUCUCCUCUCAUUCACAGUCAGUGCCAUUAAACCGUGUUGAUUAUAUUUGAAGUGCGACAUUUCGUGUUCCAAAAUCUCACGUGUGGACAUGAUGUAUGAUCUUGCGUGUGUCACAUAAGUUUGGUUAUGAGCACAAGUGAAGCUGUCGGUUUUGAGCGAACCAGACAAAACCAAAGCAAAACUAGUGUUGAUGCUUGCUUCCUCCAUUUUUCAGCCGAUCAGUUUUUGAGAUUGAAUCGAUCGGUUGAGUCGAGGAACCGGCCAAGAUUUUGUUCACAUUGUUAUAUCAUUGUUUUGAUCUCUAUAAACCAUUUACCAAGACAUUGUAAACCACAAGACUUUUUCCAUUACUAGGCUACAUAGAGUCAAAAAGGAGGGUGACUCUUAGAGCAAUUAAUAGAACACCACCUCUCAUUGAAAGCUCAUGGGUCAAAAUGGCUUAUGAGUCACUGAAAGAUCCUAAAUUUCUUAUUAGUAUUACUAACAUAGUUUUAUCUCCUCAAUAAUAACAAUUAUAUAUAUUUUGAA